ensembl:ncRNA F13D11.16 ncRNA
AAAAAUGAGCGCGAAGCUCUUUUCCGCAGAUGUCGACGGCCUUGGAUGUCUCCUUAUAGGUUUUGAAACAUAAACUGGAGACAGUUAAUUUCGAACGC